rnacentral:rRNA from 1 species
AACGAACGCUGGCGGCAGGCUUAACACAUGCAAGUCGAACGCAUCCUUCGGGGUGAGUGGCAGACGGGUGAGUAACGCGUGGGAACGUGCCCUUCAGUUCGGGAUAACCCAGGGAAACUUGGGCUAAUACCGGAUACGUGCGAGAGCAGAAAGAUUUAUCGCUGAAGGAUCGGCCCGCGUCUGAUUAGCUAGUUGGUGGGGUAAUGGCCCACCAAGGCGGCGAUCAGUAGCUGGUCUGAGAGGAUGAUCAGCCACAUUGGGAUUGAGACACGGCCCAAACUCCUACGGGAGGCAGCAGUGGGGAAUAUUGGACAAUGGGCGCAAGCCUGAUCCAGCCAUGCCGCGUGAGUGAUGAAGGCCUUAGGGUUGUAAAGCUCUUUCGUCCGGGACGAUAAUGACGGUACCGGAAGAAGAAGCCCCGGCUAACUUCGUGCCAGCCGCCGCCGUAG